rnacentral:rRNA from 1 species
GUGAAGUGUUGGGUCAAGUCCCGCAACGAGCGCAACCCUAUCAUCUGUUGCCAGCAUUUAAGGUGGGGACUCAGAUGAGACUGCCGGUGACAAACCGGAGGAAGGUGGGGACGACGUCAAGUCAUCAUGGCCCUUAUGUCCUGGGCUACACACGUGCUACAAUGGCCGGUACAGAGUGAAGCGAAACCGCGAGGUGAAGCAAAACGCAGAAAGCCGGUCUCAGUACGGAUUGGAGUCUGAAACUCGACUUCAUGAAGUUGGAAUCGCUAGUAAUCGCGCAUCAGCAUGGCGCGGUGAAUACGUUCCCGGGCCUU